ACUCAAAUGAAUUGACGGGGACCCGCACAAGCAGCGGAGCGUGUGGUUUAAUUCGAUGCAACGCGAAGAACCUUACCUGGGCUUGACAUCUAGUCGCAACACCCUGAAAGGGGUGCCUCUUCGGACGGCUAGACAGAUGCUGCAUGGCUGUCGUCAGCUCGUGUCGUGAGAUGUUGGGUUAAGUCCCGCAACGAGCGCAACCCUUGUCCUUAGUUGCAUAUCUAGGGAGACUGCCGGAAACAAACCGGAGGAAGGUGGGGAUGACGUCAAGUCAGCAUGGCUCUUACGUCCAGGGCUACACACACGCUACAAUGGUCGUUACAGCGAGAAGCCACCCGGCGACGGGGAGCGGACCUCUUAAAGACGGCCUCAGUUCAGAUUGCACUCUGAAACCCGAGUGCAUGAAGUCGGAGUUGCUAGUAACCGCGUGUCAGCAUAGCGCGGUGAAUAUGUUCCCGGGUCUUGCACACACCGCCCGU
rnacentral:rRNA from 1 species